CCUACGGGGUGCAGCAGUAGGGAAUCUUGCUCAAUGGGCGGAACCCUGAAGCAGCAACGCCGCGUGGGGGAUGAAGGUUUUCGGAUUGUAAACUCCUUUUGUUAGAGAAGAUAAUGACGGUAUCUAACGAAUAAGCACCGUCUAAAUCCGUUCCAGCAGCCGCGGUAAUACGGAGGGUGCAGGCGUUACUCGGAAUCACUGGGCGGAAAGAGCGCGUAGGCGGGAUAGCAAGUCAGAUGUGAAAUCCUAUGGCGUAACCAUAGAACUGCAUUUGAAACUGUUAUUCUAGAGUAUGGGAGAGGUAGGUGGAAUUCUUGGUGUAGCGGUAAAAUGCGUAGAGAUCAAGAGGAACACUGAUUGCGAAGGCGACUUGCUAGAACAUAACUGACGCUGAGGCGCGAAAGCGUGGGGAGCAAACAGGAUUAGAUACCCGAGUAGUC
rnacentral:rRNA from 1 species